rnacentral:rRNA from 1 species
UACGUAGGGGGCAAGCGUUGUCCGGAAUUACUGGGUGUAAAGGGCGCGUAGGCGGGGAUGCAAGUCAGAUGUGAAAUUCCGGGGCUUAACCCCGGGGCUGCAUCUGAAACUGUAUCUCUUGAGUGCUGGAGAGGAAAGCGGAAUUCCCAGUGUAGCAGUGAAAUGCGUAGAUAUCGGGAGGAACAUCAGUGGCGAAGGCGGCUUUCUGGCCUGUAACUGACGCUGAGGCGCGAAAGCGUGGGGAGCAAACAGG